rnacentral:rRNA from 1 species
UACGUAGGGGGCAAGCGUUGUCCGGAAUUAUUGGGCGUAAAGCGCGUGUAGGCGGCCAGAUAAGUCCGCUGUGAAAUCUCGAGGCUCAACUUCGAGCUGUCGGUGGAAACUGUCUGGCUAGAGUCCGGAAGAGGAGAAUGGAAUUCCUGGUGUAGCGGUGAAAUGCGCAGAUAUCAGGAGGAACACCGGUGGCGAAGGCGGAUCUCUGGGCCGAUACUGACGCUGAGGAGCGAAAGCGUGGGGAGCGAACAGG